rnacentral:lncRNA from 1 species
GCUGGUUUCCCUGCUUCUUGUCAUUCUUGACCAUGCCCGAAAGCUGAGUUCUAAUUGCAAGUUUUGUCAUCUCUUCUCUGCUGGGCAUUUCAGGGUUAUAAUUGAAGAUCUGGCCUUGGAUUUGAAGCCUAUAGAGCAGUUUCAGAAAUGGAGGGACAUACUCUUCUACCUGCAACUGAGUCUGAAGGAUGUGCUGACCCCAGAUGGACCUGUGAGCCACCAGGAACAACAUGCAGAGUGGCGCAGGCUGGCCAAGAGCCUUGCCCUCCAGCUCAGCCCAGAGCAGCACUGCAACAGGGAUGACGAGGAAGAAACAGAGUCCCUGGACU